rnacentral:rRNA from 1 species
GACGUAGGUGGCGAACGUUUAUCCGGAAUCAUUGGGCGUAAAGGGUGCGUAGAUGGCAUGAUAAGUUAUUAGUGGGAAAUCGAGGCUCAACCUCGUGGAAGCUGGUAAUACUGUUUUGCUUGAGUGCAGGAGAGGUUAACGGAACUCCAUGUGGAGCGGUAAAAUGCGUAGAUAUAUGGAAGAACAUCAAUAACGGCGAAGGCAGUUAACUAUUCUGCUACUGACAUUGAGGCACGAAAGCGUGGGGAGCAAAACGG